rnacentral:rRNA from 1 species
UACGUAGGGUGCAAGCGUUAAUCGGAAUUACUGGGCGUAAAGCGUGCGCAGGCGGUUCUAUAAGACAGAUGUGAAAUCCCCGGGCUCAACCUGGGAACUGCAUUUGUGACUGUAGAGCUGGAGUGCGGCAGAGGGGGAUGGAAUUCCGCGUGUAGCAGUGAAAUGCGUUGAUAUCAGAAGGAACGCCGGCGGCGAAAGCGGCGCACUGGAUCUUUUCUGACGCUGAGGCGCGAAAGCCAGGGGAGCAAACGGG